rnacentral:lncRNA from 1 species
CUUAGAUCAAAUUUUAAUUAAGACACUUUGGAAACUGGGCUCAACUCCCACUUUUCACCAGGAAUUUUGAGUACUUUCACUUCUUGUCCUUCAAAGUGGGUGAAACACUGCCUGUGUCAUCGUGUGUGGUUAAAGCAUAAUUUCUCAAGGUUUUACUAUUUGCUUACCUUUCAUUACGUGUCCGUGUGGUGCCAAAUGUAAUAGAGGCUCUGUUGUUGGUACUUCUGUGUGCUAUUGUAACCUGAAUGAUACCUUAAAUAAGGUAGGACAUUGUGUGUCUUUAGCAGGGAGUGAGAGUGAGGAUAGCUCUUACCUUUCCUUGAAACUGUUCCACUGAUUAAUGCUGAUGAGCUUCUUACACCUGGAAACCUGG